AUCCCCACCUGUGGAGUGCGGGAUUUGGUGAGAGAUGAUUGGAUCCUGAGUGUGUUUUCCCUCAUGCUGUUCUCGCGGUAGUGAGUUCCCACGAGAUCUGAUGGUUUUGUAAAGCAGUUUCCACAGCUCUUGCAAGCUCUCGCUCACCUGCCUCCACAUAAGAUGUGCUUCUUCCACUGCUGCCAUGAUUUUGGAGUUUCCGGAGACCUCCAAAACCGAGAAUAGGAGGAGAAAAUAAGGCAAAAAUCAAUGGCAGCCAAAUCUGGACCAUUUAGUGACUUAUGCUCAUUGAUUAGGACUGCAUCACCUGGGUACAUUAAAUUUCAAGAAAUUCCGAGAGUGAUCGUGUUUCUGCUACUGCAUGAGUUUCCAGCUCUGUUUUAAAUCAGCUACCGAAGGACACUGUAGUCUUCAUAGAGCAUUCCCAUGAGAAUGGUGAGAGGGUUUCUUGACUCCAAGGCUAACUGGCUUCACGACAUGCCAUACCCUAAGUCAAGCCAUGGCAACCCGUGACCUGCAGGUGCAUCUCUGGAUGGCCUCCUGGAACUGGAAUGUGUGAAGGAACUGAAAAACCACAAAAGGAGAAGAAAUGACCAACCCCUGUGGUGCCUAAUUAACUUUGAGACAUUCUCUAUUGUGCUUUAUUCCUGUCUCAAUUGAUAGGGCAAUUGGACUUUGUAAUUGACCUUGGUCAAUCUCAUGAGACCUCCUGACCCUACAAACCCCUCCCAGCUUGCAAAAACCGCCCUAAAGUGUAACUUCUAUAACUUUC